rnacentral:lncRNA from 1 species
CUGUAUUGGCCCUGUUAUAGAUUCGAGGUUAGCUGUAUUGGCCCUGUUAUAGAUUCGAGGUUAGCUGUAUUGGCCCUGUUAUAGAUUCGAGGUUAGCUGUAUUGGCCCUGUUAUAGAUUCGAGGUAUACUGUAUUGGCCCUGUUAUAGAUUCGAGGUUAGCUGUAUUGGCCCUGUUAUAGUUCGAGGUUAGCUGUAUUGCCUGUUAUAGAUUCGAGGUUAGCUGUAUUGGCCUGUUAUAGGUUAGCUGUAUUGGCCCUGUUAUAGAUUCGAGGUUAGCUGUAUUGGCCCUGUUAUAGAUUCGAGGUUAGCUGUAUUGGACCCGAGACUCGACAACUAAGAACUAAAUAUAUAGAAGGUAUGGUAAAUGGAACUUAAGCAUUGACGUGCUUUUUUUUUCUUUUUUAGCUUGCUUGCUAUGCAUCUUUGCUUAGAUAAUACAUAUUAAUUAUUCAAUUUAAUUC